rnacentral:lncRNA from 1 species
UGAUAACCCAUACUUACCCCUUAUCAUGCAGAGAAGACAGAUUUCCUUAUUUAGAAGAGUCAGUGUUUAAAAGCAUUAGCUGAUCUUCCAAAGGACAUGGAAUUAAUUUCCACCACCCACAUGGUGGCUCACAGAAACUUACAAAUGCAGUGUCAGAGAAUAUGAUGAGCUCUUUUGGCCACUGAGGGUACUUCACACAGUCAUGAUAUACAUAUAUACAUACAUGCAAGAAGAACAUUCAUACACCUAUAAUGAAUUAAAUAACCCUUAAAAUUAAAUAACAAAUGAGUAGAUUUUUUUAUGAGCUACAAAAUGUAAGACAGAAUGGAGAAAAUAAAUGAUUUGGGAGUGAGCUAAAUUUGAAUAUUUACUCUGUGGUGCUGUGUUUAGAAAAAUUGAACACCAGGUUAUGGCUCAAUGCAUGUGCUUCUUUUCUUUGUUUUUAAGAAAACUGACUGGUUUUUAUUUUACCCUGGACUAAGAAAACAUGGAGCAUUUAGCUCUCUAUUAACUGAUGGAGGCUUUUGAUUUAUAGUGUUCAUAAAAUGAGGGCAUCUAUCAUAAAAUUAAACCUUUAUUAGAAUCAAUGGCAUGAAGAUACGUGUGGAAAGUAGAGGCUAAUCAUGCGCUGUUCAGAUGCCUGAAUAAUUUGGGAGAUCUCAGAGCCAUAUAAGAGCAGUAUCUCCUGUCUUUUCAAUACCACAUGAGAACAGCUCCAUAUUGUGCAUGUAUCACCCCAUCCUAGGCCUUAUAAGGCAUUCACACAGAAAGUGUCUGAUUUUUUCCUACACAAAUGUUGCUGUGGAAAGUGAUAAUAGGCAAAGAAAGAGCAGUGAACAUGACCGAGAUCUAGAGUAAAAAGAAUCCCGCCUAUUUUUGGAUUAAUUAUAUCAAUUGGACAAGCUCUUAAGUGUCUUUUUCUUUAAGGGUGAAAUGGGAUCAUUCCUUGCUGAGAUAUUGUACACAUUAGAAAUAAUAUGUGCAAAGAUCCCAGUGAUGAACUAAUGGGGGAAAAAAAGACAUCAUAGCAGUAGCUAUUACCAUUACCCAUGAGGGGAAAAUAUGCAAUAUAGACAAAAUACUGUAAAAGGAACAUAUACAAAAGCUUAUAGGAAGACUUUCGAGUUAGGGAAGGUUUAACUGACUCUGCUGUAGCCCAUGGUGAGGUCUUAAUAUAUCAAAUUAUAUCUAGAAAGAUUCUCAGUGGGACGUGCAGGUGACAUGUUUCCAAUACAUGUCAUUAUAAGAACUAGGGCUUUGUAAUUCUUUGAUUCCUUACUGUUUGAUUUUCAAUCUUAAUAAUGCAUUAGAGUACUUCUGAGCUUAGCUCUCAAUAAAUUAUAAAUGCCACCAUUUUAUACCCAAGUAUCAAAUGAUAUUUGGCCACUGCUAGUGGAGGAAAAAUAAACAAUUUGAGCUUGUUAACUAUGGCUUUCUGGGUUUCUGGGGUCAGUCUGUCUGCUACAGGGUAUGCUUAUCAGAGCCAGUACCUGUUAAUUUUACAGCAUGCAUAUUUCAUGUAUAGGUACUAAUUUCUAGUCACUGUGUACAGUUAAGAUGUUAUUUUACCCUAUAUUUUCUACUGUUUUAGCUGCUAAAACACACUUACACCAUGUGGUCAUUUUUCUAAACUUCAAGAUUAGCAGCAAGUGCCAACUGCCAGUGACUGCUGAGAUACCCCAUCCUUUACAUCCAUCAGUGCCCUAAUUUCCAAGACGGUUGCAAUUUCUACUUCUAACAAAACAUCAAUAAUGACCUUUCACACCUAUUUGUGCCAUAUGAUUUAAUCAAUAUUAAUUUUGUUCAUGUACCUCCUGUCUCUUUCCACAGAUACUUAACCCAACAGUUAUUUGAUAUAUCGGAUCCUUAUAUCAAGAAGAGCAAGGCAAUGGCAUACAGAUGGGCUCCUUUGGUUCAUUGAUAAUGUCUGACAGAACCAGUUCUACAGCAGAAGGCAUAAGAAAAAAAUUGAAGCUCUGUUUAGCUUUCAUGGGGAUGAAUAUUGUAACUGACUAGCCAUGUCUGCCAAAGGUUAAAUAAGAAAGAAGAGAGAGAGGAAGACUAGCACAGAGUGCAGGAAGGCCCAUACCUCUCAGACUCCCUUAACAUCUUCAUGCUAUGUAAUCUCCACAAAGAUUGAGGCCUUACUACUACCUUCUCUCAGUGAUGUGAGAAAGUUCAUUUACAGAACACUAAAUCAAUGAGGCAUAUAGCUUCCAUUCUGUGAAAUUGUUUGCAGUCUGAAGCUUUACUCUGCUGAGACACUCUGCUAAGUAACCCAUAUAAAAAAUAAAUCAUAUUUUUUCCAUUUUACAUUGUGGAAAUACGGUGAAGAGCAACAAUUAAUAUAUGAUAUUAAUCUUUGAAUCAUAUCCAGAAAUAUCCAUGAUUAUCAUUUUACUAUCUACUUUUGGGCCCAUUUUGUGCGUUACCCCUUAGCUCUAUGUUCGUUCACACUUUUCACUUGUUCUGUGAAAACUGAUCUGGGCCAUGGGUACUUAAGAUGGUGUUAAAGCAAGCUUGAUCAAGAUGUAGCGAGGGAUACAUGUCACAGAGGGACCAGAAAGUUGGGUUGCCAUCUUUUCUGGUAUGUUUGUUGUGACAUGUCUUAGGGUACAACCUGAUGUAGUUGUUGAACCUUCAUCAGUACUCAGAUCUCCAAUGCAGUUUUUAAUUUUUCUCCACCAUGUUCUGCUCUACAGUGUUUAUCACAUCUCUAAGCAGAUUCACCCUCUGUAAAGCUAUUCUGCAGUUGGGUGUCUUCCCUUGUAGGUCAGAAAAAUAAAUAUAGAAACUUCUACUAGCAAAAUAAAAAAGAGUUCUUUCAUUCAGCAAGCCACAAUCAUGUUGCCUCUAACCAGGUAUAAGUAGUCCCAACUAGAUCUGGAUCUACUAGCUUGGUUACAAAGAAGUAACUAUGUCUUGUAUAUUUUAGAGUCAUCUUUACUUAUCACUCUUUAGUUCAUCAUUAUAGCUAGCAAUUGCAAUCAGUAGUCUAUAAAAAUACUUCCAUGUUCAAAACGUCUGUCCCAGAGUGGUAAUUUGUGAUUCCUAUAGCAUAAUACACAGAGGUAUGCUAUUGGUUUACAUUUUAAAAUAAUAAGAAACACCACAGCAUUCAACAUUCCUUCAGCUUCUACCUUGUUUUAAUGGUUGCAAAGUAGUAAUAGUCUUAAAUACUGGUUUAUUUUAUUUCUUUCUGUCAUUUCUAGAUAUUCUUUCUCUUUUUUUUUUCAUAAAACAUAUAUACUCUCUUCAGACUGGUAGAUGUCCUUGAGCAUACACUUUUGCCUGGAUCCAUAGUGAUUUCUCAACAGUGAACUUGUGGUUAUUUAGACACUUUUGUCAGAGAAAAAUGAAGCUCAACAAUGGAGAAAGUGCUUGAUAAUUUCAGGGUCAUUUUGGGCACAUUAUGGAAAGGUGUGAUGAAAUGUCAAAAAAAGAAAAGCAGAAGAGUGGAGAGAGCCAUACAUUUCUCAUCUUCUGUGAAUGUGUUCUAGCAAGAAUGUGAAAAUUCUCCCAAGCACCACAAAACUGACACCAGGUUGAAGACUGAGCCAUUAAAUAUCAAUUAUCC